CUCUCCCCUGAGGAGAGGGCUGUCUCUCUCAUCAGGUUUCCGUGCACGCUCCAGCUCUCUCCACCUUAUUAUUAUACUGUCAGGCCCACGUGCCGUCCUGAUAGAUGUCCCCUGCACUGUUUACUACACGCACAUGAUUUAACUAACGCUGCGCUCAACUUGACCUCUCCUCCUCCUCCUCCACCUACUCCUCUUCCUCUUCGUCCUUUUCUAGGCUACUGCUCCAGGAUGACUUCAUCUGUUUACCACAAUAAAUACAUGUUCAGGGGCACCAAUGACGUUUGCUGGGUAUGUUUGCAGUUUGUUUAUGUGUACAUGUGUUUUGUUGAGUUGGUUAAUGUUAAUGGGUAUACAGAGUGUGAAUUUGUGUCCUUAAUGUGUAUUAUACUAGUGUAUAUACUUAAUUGUCUACGUAUAAGUGUCAACGUUUUAGUGUCUACGUAUAGUAUGUAUGUUUAAGCCUGUAUGUUGAAGAAUGUAUGUUUAAAUGUAUAUGUUUUAGUGUAUACAUUUCAGUGUACUGUAUAUAUUAAAGUGUAUAGAUUUAACUGUAGGUGUUUAAAUGCAUAGAUUUAAGGGUGCGUUUACAUCUUUUUGUUUAAGUUUGUACGUUUUGUCCAUGUUUUAGCGUUGGCCUACGUUAACAUUUAUAUUUUUAAGGGUAUGUUUAAGUGAAUAUGUUUAAGUGCACGAUUAAGCAUGCAGUCAUACCUUCCCUGGCUUCAGAGACACAGAAGCAUCUGCAUAUAGCCCAGAGUGGCCGUCUGUGUCAUGUUAAAAGACGAAGGAAACUCCGCCUCCCAGCAGACUCCUGUCUCCAGAAGGAAUGGCCAAUCAGAAGUCGCUGCCCUGUUAAGUUGUGCUCCCUUCGCCGUGUUUUGUUUUGAUUUGCCGGACGUUUGGGAAUGAUUUGGGACCCGGGGCCCGACGGCGGCCGCAGGAAUACCGGUCGAGAGAGACGCGCGCCACGGACCUGAAAUGUUUUUCCAAUUACCGCUUUCAUUAUGGGUUUGUCGUCCCAUGUUUGGACGCGCAACGGCACGAAUUUCAUGCUAUGACAGGGGAGGCCGCUUGUUGUUUUUUCAUCUAGUCUGAUUUCCUGUGGAGGCUAAUGCAACGCAGAGCUAGGAGUAGUCACCAGUAGGGGGCACUGUGGCAUAGAUCACAUAGGGGCCUCGAUGAGUUGAACGAAAAUGCUGCCUUCUCUGUUACUCAAAAGUUACAAAACCAUUACUCAACUGCUCGUUACUCAACUGUUUGUUACAAAGCCAUUACCGUUGUUUUAUAAUAUAAUGUUUAGCAUUGAUUUUAAUUAUUUGUAAACCCUUCUUUUUUAAAUACAUUUAUAAUCAUAUCUUUAUUUUGAUUAUUGAUUGCAUUUUUGUAUUUAAUAUUUAUUAUUUAUAUAUUUUUUGUUAAAUUCAUGCUCAGCACUUUAUUGGAGCUCUGUCAUGAAAGCCCCAGGCAGUCAGUUACACUAUUACAAAAUGUUCUUUCCUUCCUUUUAGACUACAGAUUAAAUCACUUCUUUACGAGGAAAUGCUUCCAGCAAUAAGCCAGGAUGGAGCGCCUCACAAAAGAGCCUAACAUCAUUUGUACCAAAAAAAAAGCGAGACGAAAACAGAGACGGUGCUGGAGUGCGUUGAUGUAGCAUGUCGUUGGGGGCAAUCCUCCUGAGUUAACACCAUUAUCUACCUCUUGUGUCAAGAGAGACUCCAUCUGCGUCGCUGACUAGCUAUCCAAGGCCGUAGCGUAACCAGUAGCUGAUAGCAUCUUCUCUGGAGUCUGCUGCCGUCUGCCUCAGCCUCAGACAAAGUGCCUCCAUCAGACCAAUGAGGCUCCAUGGGAACCUAGCUGCCGGCCCCCGGGCCCCUCCGUUGGCUCCAUUAAACGCGCCUCCCCGGGGCAGGUUAAAAAAGCCUCUUUAGCAGCCCUGCUCGUCCAAGAUGGGGAAGGACAGACCUCCCCCGCCCAGCCCGGCCUCCACACCCCUCCGUCACUCGCCCCACCAGCCCUCCCUCCUAACCCGAUUAGGAAGCGACCAACGGAUGGGCCGCGGGGCAGAAGUCCCUGGUCCAACCACUUAGACGCCACCACACGGCACUCUGGUGGAAGUUAUGGGAUGGAUGGCUCUGUGGCUGGAUGGUGAGGGAGAGUACGGCUGGAUGGACGGAUGGAUGUGAAAUAAAAGAGGGAGAUAAUAACAUUAUUAAUGUGACGACAAACGCAACCUGUUUCGGUUCUUCGGCCAUUUAUUUUGAUGUUAACUGUAAAUAUAAAAAUGUUUAAACAUGCAUAAUAUUUAUUCCAGCGUUUGCAAUGUGUGCCGAAUGAAAGUCUUUUGUCAGUAUUAAAUAGGAUUAACAUCUUGAGAGCAGAGAAAGACCGCCAUCAUUGUCCUAUUAGAUGAUUAGUCACAAGGGCCAUCGAUGUGAUUUCCUACUGACAAAAUUCCACUAUCUGUUUCUUGAAUGACUCCUGAUGUUUGCUUGAUGUCUCAACAUCUGCUUUUAUGACUCAAUAAAAAAACGAUAAACAAAAUUUGUUAGGCACUCGUUUUCUUAAAUAUACAGACAAAAUAAAUAAUUUGGGCCUAUUUUUGGUCACAUAAAUGUAAAUGUAUUUCCCUCAAUUCCCCACAAUUGGAGUGUAUAAAUUAAUCGCACAUAAUGGUAGUUGCGGUGGGAUUUAGUUUUGUUGGCCUCAUGAGAGCCAUGGCUCUCUGUAGAGGGCGUUAAAUAUAAGAUUUCCAUGCUGGAGCAGGAGGGCCUGAAUGGAUGCGGCACACAGACGAAAGCUGAGAUUUAUGAACACAGUUUAUAAAACAAAACACCGGGGUUAAGGUGGAGUUAAAGGAAGAGGCUUUUCUUUCUAGUCAGACAGGGCGGGCCGUCCCAAAGAGAGAUCACAGGACACCAAGAAUAAACCAAAGACGACAGAGAACGAUAGAGGGGGAAAAAGAGACUCAGAGAUGACACAUUUUCACCGCCCCAGCAACUGCAGAGCUUUUGUUUGAUCCGACAGAUGCAGUAAUUCACGUCAAAUUACAUUCUGUUUCGACUGGACCUUUUUCUUUUUUAACGCCACUCCCCAAUAUCAAUCUGUGUGUUCUGCAGAGUGUUUCUGCGUUCUGUGUUUCCUCCUCCUCUACUUGGUUAAGUACAACCACAAAAUCUGAAUUCAUCUCAAAUUGUUCAGUUCUUUAAUAACUUUAGUAACUGUUGUAUUUCUUUUCAGUGUUAAUACAAUAAUAUAGACAUCAUUUAAUAAUACAAAUAAAUUACAGAAAAUAUUACAUAUUUAGCUAAAAACAUUAAAAAUACGCACCAUUUGUUGCGUAUCCCUUGUGUUCACUAGCUCUCUCUCUCUCUCUCUCUCUCUCUCUCUCUCUCUCUCUCUCUCUCUCUCUCUCUCUCUCUCUCUCUCUCUUGCUCUUGGAUCAUUUUGUAAUUUUGGUAAAGCAAGAAGCGUUGUCGCCCCCAACCAAACGAUAGUACUACAUUUCCCAUGAAGCAUCCCGGUGCGUUUGAAUCCUUUAAUUUGAAAGAAAACAUUGCUUUGA
ensembl:lncRNA